rnacentral:rRNA from 1 species
GACGAACGCUGGCGGCGUGCUUAACACAUGCAAGUCGAACGGAAAGGCCCUGCUUUUGUGGGGUGCUCGAGUGGCGAACGGGUGAGUAACACGUGAGUAACCUGCCCUUGACUUUGGGAUAACUUCAGGAGACUGGGGCUAAUACCGGAUAGGAGAUCCUGCUGCAUGGUGGGGGUUGGAAAGUUUCGGCGGUUGGGGAUGGACUCGCGGCUUAUCAGCUUGUUGGUGGGGUAGUGGCUUACCAAGGCUUUGACGGGUAGCCGGCCUGAGAGGGUGACCGGCCACAUUGGGACUGAGAUACGGCCCAGACUCCUACGGGAGGCAGCAGUGGGGAAUAUUGCACAAUGGGCGGAAGCCUGAUGCAGCAACGCCGCGUGCGGGAUGACGGCCUUCGGGUUGUAAACCGCUUUCGCCUGUGACGAAGCGUGAGUGACGGUAAUGGGUAAAGAAGCACCGGCUAACUACGUG